rnacentral:sRNA from 1 species
UGAACAAUUAUUUUCUUUAUCUUGCUCCACAAUCAUUCUGUUAACCCGUGUCUCUCCCUCAAUCAUAUCAGACAAAUCCCUCUUCCUCUCUCUCUCAUCUUCUCACUCUCUCUCUACAAACCGUACCCUCUCUUCUUCUCUGCAACCAAACACAUCAUCCAAAACGUAUUACAUCGAACUGAAAAUUACCACCAUCGUAAUCCUCACGCCCUCACGAGUUCAUCCAUAUAAACAGAAUCGAAAACAACUGAGUUUCGAACAUCGAACUUGGAAGCUCCGACUCAAAUCAAAUUUUCCUGACGAUUUUCUGAUCGAGUUACAAAGUUUUGGAAGAUCUAGAAGCUACUACACAACUCUCCGAGGUCCCUUCUCUAAUUUUGAACCAAAGCCAACGUGAAAACACACGGAUUCGAGAUGUCGGAAUUUGAGCCGUGCCUUUUGAGCUAUUUUCAGACAAUAUCCGUCCAAUUUUUGGACUUUCCAAAGAAUCUGGCGACCUUCGUGGCUUUCGAGCCAUUUUUCGAUCAAAUCAGGACAAGUUAGCCAUUAAGAAAGUUUGUCCAGUUUUCCGGCGUGUUACCAGUUUCCGACGGACCAGUCCCUUUUAAGGCUUUUUUCCGGUCAUCUACAGCAACCAUUCGGCUUCCAAAUGGUGUAAUUACUAUUGAAGACUUCGACUUUCUUAGCUCGAAAGGAUGUAGCAUCGCAAGUAACUGUGAGUGGAUUUUUUGUUUUUACGUAUACAUGUAUAUAAUUGUAUAUGUGAUUUUCCCAAUAAUUACGUAUAUAUUUAUUACGAAGUGACAUGUCAUGUUUAGCUUCACAAAUAG